CCUACGGGAGGCAGCAGUGGGGAAUAUUGCGCAAUGGGCGAAACCCUGACGCAGCGACGCCGCGUGAGGGAUGAAGGUUUUCGGAUUGUAAACUCCUGUUAGCAGGGAAGAUAGUUCACUUUUCUAAUGAGUAGUCACCUGCUGGCUCCGUCCCAGCAACCGCGGUAAUACUGAGGGUGCAAGCGCUCGUCGGAAUUACUGGGGGGAACGCGCGCGGGGGCGGGAUAGCAAGUCAGGUGUGAAAUCCUAGGGCUUAACCAUAGAACUGCAUUUGACACUGGCAUUCUAGAGUAUGUGAGAGGUUGGUGGAAUUCUAGGUGUAGGAGUAAAAUCCGUAGAUAUCAGGAGGAACAUUCAUGGCGAAGGCGAC
rnacentral:rRNA from 1 species